rnacentral:rRNA from 1 species
AACUCCAGAAAGUCUGAAGAGACUGCAAGACUUGAGAUCGGGUGAGGUUAAACGUACUUUCAGGGUAGGGGUAAAAUCCUGUAAUCCCGGAAGGACGACCAGUGGCGAAAGCGUUUAACUAGAACGAAUCUGACGGUAAGGAACGAAGGCUAGGGUAGCAAACCGGAUUAGAUACCCGGGUAGUCCUAGCUGUAAACAUUGCCCAUUUGAUGUUGCUUUCCCGUUGAGGGAAGGCAGUGUCGGAGCGAAGGUGUUAAAUGGGCCGCUUGGGAAGUAUGGUCGCAAGACUGAAACUUAAAGGAAUUGGCGGGGGAGCACCGCAACGGGAGGAAUGUGCGGUUUAAUUGGAUUCAACGCCGGAAAACUCACCGGGAACGACCUGUGCAUGAGAGUCAACUUGACGAGCUUACUCGAUAGCAGGAGAGGUGGUGCAUGGCCGUCGUCAGCUCGUACCGUAGGGCGUUCACUUAAGUGUGAUAACGAGCGAGACCCACAUCUUUAAUUGCAAAUGUAUAUGGGAAUAUGCAUGCACUUUAGAGAAACCGCCAGCGCUAAGCUGGAGGAAGGAGUGGUCGACGGCAGGUCGGUACGCCCCGAAUUUCCCGGGCUACACGCGCAUUACAAAGAACGGGACAAUACGUUGCAACCUCGAAAGAGGGAGCCAAUCGCGAAACCCGUCCAUAGUUAGGAUUGAGG